GCUAACGCCGGGCCAGCGGCCGCGGUAAUACUGGGGAGCCAAGGGUUAUCCGGAAUCAUUGGGUUGAAAGGGGCCGUAGGGGGCCUGAUAAGUCAGCGGUGAAAGUUUUUGGCUUAACCAAAAAAUUGCCAUUGAUACUGUAGGGCUUGAAUAUUUGUGAAGUAAAUAGAAUAUGUAGUGUAGCGGUGAAAUGCUUAGAUAUUACAUGGAAUACCAAUUGCGAAGGCAGGUUACUAACAAAUGAUUGACGCUGAUGGACGAAAGCGUGGGUAGCGAACAGGAUUAGAUACCCUGGUAGUC
rnacentral:rRNA from 1 species